rnacentral:rRNA from 1 species
AACAGACGCUGGCGGCGUGCCUAAUACAUGCAAGUCGAACGGGGAAAGCUUUCGGGUGAGUACUAGUGGCGCACGGGUGAGUAACGCGUGGAUAAUCUGCCUUGAAGAGGGGGAUAACCAGUCGAAAGAUUGGCUAAUACCGCAUAAGACCACAGGAACUGAGGUUCUAGAGGUCAAAGGUUUUUCGCUUCAAGAUGAGUCCGCGUAAGAUUAGCUAGUUGGUGAGGUAACGGCUCACCAAGGCGACGAUCUUUAACUGGUCUGAGAGGAUGAUCAGUCACACUGGAACUGAGACACGGUCCAGACUCCUACGGGAGGCAGCAGUAGGGAAUAUUGCACAAUGGAGGAAACUCUGAUGCAGCGACGCCGCGUGAGUGAUGAAGGCCUUCGGGUCGUAAAGCUCUGUCGCAGGGGAAUAACACAAUGAAGGUACCCUGUAAGAAAGGAUCGGCUAACUUCGUGCCAGCCGCCGCUGUAAAAC